UCCUACGGGAGGCAGCAGUGGGGAAUCUUAGACAAUGGGCGCAAGCCUGAUCUAGCCAUGCCGCGUGUGUGAUGAAGGCCUUAGGGUCGUAAAGCACUUUCGCCAGGGAUGAUAAUGACAGUACCUGGUAAAGAAACCCCGGCUAACUCCGUGCCAGCAGCCGCGGUAAUACGGAGGGGGUUAGCGUUGUUCGGAAUUACUGGGCGUAAAGCGUACGUAGGCGGAUCAGAAAGUAGGGGGUGAAAUCCCAGGGCUCAACCCUGGAACUGCCUCCUAAACUCCUGGUCUUGAGUUCGAGAGAGGUGAGUGGAAUUCCAAGUGUAGAGGUGAAAUUCGUAGAUAUUUGGAGGAACACCAGUGGCGAAGGCGGCUCACUGGCUCGAUACUGACGCUGAGGUACGAAAGUGUGGGGAGCAAACAGGAUUAGAUACCCUGGUAGUCCACACCGUAAACGAUGAAUGCCAGUCGUCGGGCAGUAUACUGUUCGGUGACACACCUAACGGAUUAAGCAUUCCGCCUGGGGAGUACGGUCGCAAGAUUAAAACUCAAAGGAAUUGACGGA
rnacentral:rRNA from 1 species